UACGAAGGGGGCUAGCGUUGCUCGGAAUCACUGGGCGUAAAGCGCACGUAGGCGGAUUGCUAAGUCAGGGGUGAAAUCCUGGAGCUCAACUCCAGAACUGCCUUUGAUACUGGCGACCUUGAGUCCGGGAGAGGUGAGUGGGAACUGCGAGUGUAGAGGUGAAAUUCGUAGAUAUUCGCAAGAACACCAGUGGCGAAGGCGGCUCACUGGCCCGGUACUGACGCUGAGGUGCGAAAGCGUGGGGAGCAACAGG
rnacentral:rRNA from 1 species